UCGAAAUAGAAAUGUAAUAAAAAAAUCAAACAACAGGUUGUUUACACAGACUGCUUAUUUUAAUUGAUUUUGAUUGGAAAUGGAACAUUGUUACUUAAUUAAAUUGUACAUGACAUGAUGUAGUGCCAAAGAAUAACAACAGUCUGUUUCAAAAUGAAAUCAUUGAAUGCGAUUUCACCAUAUUCACCACUCAGUCCAAAAUUGACACCUAGUCACUGAAGUUGGUUAUAAUAUAUGUAUAAUAUUAGGGAUUCUGCAGUGCAUUUUAGGUCAAGGUGAACUGGUUAUGGUCGUUGCUCAAACAACUGAGUAUAACAAUUAUACAAAAAUUAUAAUACAUGAUUUUAGCAUUUAUUUUAGACAAUCAACUUGAGAAUGCCAAGACUGCCAAGAGUAUUUUGCCCGAAUUUCACUUGAGUGAGACAUGGAUAUUGGCAGAAUCUUGUUUACUUUAAGCUAUGUCAAAUAUAAACAAUUUGAUUAUAGCUUGGUGGUAUAUGGGAAAUCUAUAGAAAGAAAAGCAUUUCCUUCAGUAUUAUAAGAAUUUCAGACAGUUUUGUUUCAGUCUUGAACCCAAAGUGAAGGGGAUGUUUUUAUUUACAAUUUAUGUUUUUUUUUUACCAUAUAACUGUCCAUGAGGAGGGGGAAGGGAAGUAACGACCUUUUAUACAAGGAGGCUCUGCCCCAAGGUCAAAACCCUAUCCAUUUUACAUAGUGUUUUUGACAGGAAAGGCUUCUCUUUAAUACACAUGUAGCUUCUAGCUUGAAACCCCCUUCACAAACCUAAUGUCACCCUACUAGAUUUCUUGGAAAAAAUAAUCAAUUAAUGUUUGAAAUCCCUGUCCUGUUAAGUCUUAUAAUACCUCCAGCCUGAAAAAAGGGCACCUUUAGUCAACUAUAGCGAGAAGACCCCCAGCUUGGUGCGAUCAAUAAUAGGGGUACUACAUAUUGUAGUGUAUGCAAGUAAAAUAACUAAUUUUCUUUAUUGGAAACACAAAUCACUGUAUUUUAUUCCUAUAUAUCUCGGUAAUUGUUUGUGCUAAUCUCACUAGCAAUGCAGUAAUAUUCAGAAGGAUUGCAGAUACGUCUCUUCUAAUAGAUGUUUGCAAUGAUUACAGAACAUACUUAUGUUGACAAGUAUCAAGCAUUCUCUUCUCCAUAAUUAUGUCAAGUUUUGAUUUCAAUUUGUUUACAUCUCUCAUUUCUAGAAGUAAAAAAAAACUCUACAUCACCAGCCACCAUGCGUCCGCCUUAUGUUUGACACAAUUGGACAGCAUAUCUCUCUCGCAAAAAGUAGAUCAACACAGUCUCUUGGACUUAAUUUGUCCAUCCAUGAUCACUUAAAUAUUCAGGAGUAUAUUUACUCGAUCGUACAUGUAGGUUGACUUACAUACCAUCUCUGAAGAAAUUUUCCCUCAGGUCGAACAGCAUGGAAUACAAAAGAAAUGAAGUGUGAACGACAACAAAACUAAAAGAUAAGGCAACUCAAAUUUCUUACUUGAAGUAUUUUAAAAUAAGCUUACAAAUUUCGAACUUCCGUCGGAUACUAACACAGACAGAAUUUCAAUGUGUGUAAACAAAAUAAAACAAUAACGAAACAAUGAAACCAAAACUUAACAAGAAAUUAAGCUUACCUUGGACUCCACAAGGAGAGAAAGCCAGUGGAAACCAUCAAAUUCUCUUGCCAAGAGAAAAAGCUACGAGCUUAAUUUCCCCCAUAUGCUAAGUUAACACGAUCCCACUUUCUGGCUUUCUUGUAUCAAUUCUUUAACCUCGCCGACCGUGCUGUUGUGACCGAUACAUCACCAGAGUUAUAAAUACCUCUACCAGCUUUCAUCUACGUGUGAGCAAAAGCCGAUAAUCAAAAAACAACAUAUUUCCCAAAGAAAAACACGUGAAACGAAAAUGGCCGACUUAAAUCUUUAAUGCGCUCGACAAACUCGUACCCAGGCUUUCCAUUUUUCGGACAAAAAUUCACUCCUUUGUAGUCUUCCCUCAUCAAAAACCUUCCUGACGACUGAACACUCUUGGAAAAAAAACAAUACUUAGUGGGGGAGCUAGGAUAAAAUUGUUUAAUUCAAGUUUAAUGAAUAAAUUAAUCAGAAUCGAGGGAGUGAGUGCCAUUAGACUGCUCAUGGAUGUUACGUCAUCCAUGAGCAAAAACGUGCCAAAUCACUAAAGCCCUAAAAGAACUAUCAAAAAUUAUGCUCUCCUCACACGUAAUUAUAUGUUUCUAACUUACAUUGAAAAAGCCAAUGAUCCCAUGCGCGCAUCACUUACUUGCAAUAAUCAGCCACCCGGAUUUUGAUAUCUGGAUGUUAUGCCCUGCAAUUAUACCGCGAUGGAGCCCUUACCCUCGUUAUUUUUCUCUGUAAAAAGGAAAUGAACUACUUUUUGUCUGCUUUUUAAUAAAUAACUGUCCAUUUAAUUCUUGUAAAACUCAAGUCCACUCGAGCGUUUGCUCUUUGAGACACAAAGUAAAGAUGGUUAUGUCCCAGGUACUACUUCCCAACACAAGAGUCUACUUGUAUGCUCCAGAUUCCACUCGGUCUCCACAAUAACAAGACCCAUGUUCUUGUUAGGGGAGGGGCGGGGAAUGAGUGAGUUUUGUGUAUUGUUUGUUUCUUGAGCAACUUUGCAAAAGCAUGUAAUUCUUUCCAAAAACACAACCUCUAUAUUCAUAACCUUAUUUGUUGUAUGGUUGACGAUAAGAAAUUACAGAAGGAAGGAAAAUUCCCAACGCGACUCUCUUAGCAGCAUUUUAGCUGCUCGAGUGUAAAGGUACACCCACUUUCGAUUUCAUUUCCUUUUAUCGAACGAACAAAAGACGAAGUCACGAGAAUGACUUUUUGACCCCAGUUUUCAAAUGUUUUGGGGCUUUCGACAUGGUAUUGGAUUGCUUUCCCAGAAAAACAGGGCUGUUACUGAAGUGUUAUCCCAGAUCUCGCGAUACUCCUCUGUAGUCUGUGCAAUUUUGUAUUUGACUUGUCCAGUAUUACACAGUUAUCUUGUUUCUCCAAAGGAUUGUACAUCAGUGUUGGCUGGUACACGGUUUUCUUGCAGUCAUUUGUAUUAACUGAAGAAUAGCUGAAAGAAGGAGACGCCUAAAUCUAAAGUAACAGUAUUUGUACAUAGGAAACAAACUAACAAGUAUUCGUGACUCAAAUCGCCUCAUUCAUCUGCAAGCUGGGACAUUUUUACAGAAAGACGACAUCUUUAGCUCUACUGAGUCAUAUACUGCCUUAGUGACCUUAGUUGCUAUCUUGUUGAGGACGAUAAAUUGCCCCUGAGAAGGAAGGAACAUUCCCAAUGUGACUCCCUAUAACGGCAAGGUUUAGCUUGAUCAAGUGUGAAGGUAAAUCUGCUUUCGAUUUCCUUUUCUUUAUCCAGCAAACAAAGAUGAAGUCACGAGAAUGACUUCUUGACCCCAAUUUGCAGAUGUUUUGGGGCUUUCGUCAUGGUAUUGGAUUGCUUUCCCUGAAAAACAGAUUUCGCGAUACUCUUCUCUAUUCCGUAUACUUUUGUAUUUGACUUGUCCAUUAUUACAUAGACUUCUUGUUUUUCAAAAAGAAUGUACAUCAGUGGUAAGUAAAUAUUGAUUGCAAUGUGUUGUUUAUCAGUGACGUUCGAAACAGAACCACAGACUGUUAAUCAAUAUAUGUUGUUCGCUUUACUGCGCAUACGUCAGUUGGCCAGGACGUUUUCUUGCAGUCAUUUGUAUUAACUGAAGUAUAACUGAAAGAAGAAGACGCCUGAAUCAGAAGUAACAGUGUUUGUACAUAGCUUAAACAAACUAACUAGUAUUCCACGAAAAAUGAAUACGACUCAAAUCGCCUCAUUUAUCUGCAAGCUGGGACAUUUUUGCAGCUAAUAAUCUGUUACUCUGUUUUCGUGUUCGCAAGUUUCAAAAGACACUUGUGAAGACUUGUGAACGCCUUUUCCACUUAUUGACGAUUCUUGAGAAGUACCGCUAUUAGGAACGACUGCUUUAUUGCCAAUAGUCAACACUGAUCUACUUCAACCAAACCGCAGCAGACCUUGACGCGGUAUUUCAGUCGCCAUUUUAUCGGAUAUACAACUUAAGUUGACGCCAUGACAUCAGGAGAAACUUGUAGAGAAAUAGUUGGUCGGGUUUAUCUAAACUCAAUUACCUCUUUCGGUCGCAUUUGAAUAUUAACUGAAUCUUUUAGAAACAUGCUUGGACCAGCGUUCGGGACUGCCUUCAGUUUAGUUCACAGGAUAUUCAUUCUGAUAUUUAUCUCUUCUUAAAGAAUCAAACAAGCAAAUUAGUCAAAUUAAAUCGACCCACUUUUUUCUCUCUGUCGUGUUGUUUCUCACCUCGUUUAGUUUAACGUUCCAGUAAGAAACUGCCCUGAAGAGGAACCGAGAGUGUUUUAUCGUUUGUUGUUUAUAGAGCAACUUUGCAAAAAGCAUGUAAUGAUCUGAAAUUAUUCUUUCCUUCAGAAAGACGACAUCUUUAGCUCUACUGAGUCAUAUACUGCCUUAGUGACCUUAGUUGCUAUCUUGUUGAGGACGAUAAAUUGCCCCUGAGAAGGAAGGAACAUUCCCAAUGUGACUCCCUAUAACGGCAAGGUUUAGCUUGAUCAAGUGUGAAGGUAAAUCUGCUUUCGAUUUCCUUUUCUUUAUCCAGCAAACAAAGAUGAAGUCACGAGAAUGACUUCUUGACCCCAAUUUGCAGAUGUUUUGGGGCUUUCGUCAUGGUAUUGGAUUGCUUUCCCUGAAAAACAGAUUUCGCGAUACUCUUCUCUAUUCCGUAUACUUUUGUAUUUGACUUGUCCAUUAUUACAUAGACUUCUUGUUUUUCAAAAAGAAUGUACAUCAGUGGUAAGUAAAUAUU